rnacentral:rRNA from 1 species
GAUUAGCCUGCGUCCGAUUAGCUAGUUGGUGGGGUAAAGGCCUACCAAGGCGACGAUCGGUAGCUGGUCUGAGAGGAUGGCCAGCCACACUGGAACUGAGACACGGUCCAGACUCCUACGGGAGGCAGCAGUGGGGAAUAUUGGACAAUGGGGGCAACCCUGAUCCAGCAAUGCCGCGUGUGUGAAGAAGGCCUGAGGGUUGUAAAGCACUUUCAGUGGGGAGGAGGAUAUUUAGGUUAAGAGCUAGAAUAUUGGACGUUACCCACAGAAGAAGCACCGGCUAACUCCGUGCCAGCAGCCGCGGUAAUACGGAGGGUGCGAGCGUUAAUCGGAAUUACUGGGCGUAAAGAGUGCGUAGGUGGUUGGCUAAGUUAUCUGUGAAGUCCCUGGGCUUAACCUGGGCAGGUCAGAUAAUACUGGUUGACUCGAGUAUGGGAGAGGGUAGUGGAAUUUCCGGUGUAGCGGUGAAAUGCGUAGAGAUCGGAAGGAGCACCAGUGGCGAAGGCGGCUACCUGGCCUAAUACUGACACUGAGGCACGAAAGCGUGGGGAGCAAACAGGAUUAGAUACCCUGGUAGUCCACGCUGUAAACGAUGUCAACUAGCUGUUGG